rnacentral:misc_RNA from 1 species
GUGAAUCAUCGAAUUUUUGAACGCGAAUUGCACUUGCUGGCAUCCCGGGAAGCAUGCCUGUUUGAGGGUCAGUAUUAACAAAAACAUAGGUUUGGUUGCUAAUUGUGACGUUUCCGGAGUGUGGGCUAUCUUAACUUUUUUGGUUGAGAGGCUUAAAAUGGACCUUUUUUGCGCCGUUUUAGACGUACAUAAAUUUUUUUUUUAUUCGUCUAUUAUUAAUGCCAAAAUCU